rnacentral:misc_RNA from 1 species
AAGUCGUAACAAGGUUUCCGUAGGUGAACCUGCGGAAGGAUCAUUUCUGUUCCAACCUUUUUUCUUCUUGGUCUCCAACUUUAUUGGGGGGGAUUGAGGAGGAAAAAUAGAGAUUGUGUGGUUUAAAUGCUUUCUAUGUGGGGCUGCCUUCUUUUACCUGAGUACCGAAAGGUACAUAGGGUAUGGGGAGUGGUUCCAUGUAGAAACCCCAUUUUUCAUAUAUAUAAAAUCACGAUGAUUACUAUUGUAACCAACCGAGAGCAAAGUAGUCUUCAUCUAAUCUAGUUUUCUUGAUUGAGGAUUAGUGCGGAAGGAGGUUGCUUUGAAUUUCACAAAUAUAAACGACAUACAACUGUCAACGGUGGAUCUCUUGGCUCGU